CUCAGGGAGGUAGUGACAAGAAAUAACAACACUGGAAAUUUUAUUUCUAGUGAUUGGAAUGAUGGGAAUUUAAACCCCUUUCAGAGUAACAAUUGGAGGGCAAGUCUGGUGCCAGCAGCCGCGGUAAUUCCAGCUCCAAUAGCGUAUAUUAAAGUUGUUGCAGUUAAAAAGCUCGUAGUUGGAUGUCUGCUGGAAGCAAUCAGUCCGCCCUAUUUGUAGGGUGUGCACUUGAUGAAUUCUGGCAUUUUUGUCCCAAUGAUGUAACGGGGCGGUGGUACUCGGUGAAAGCCGAGUAUCCUGUUUUCCGAUUAUUGGGAUACUGUUACUUUGAGAAAAUUAGAGUGUUUGAAGCAGGCUAAUUGCCUUGAAUACUGCAGCAUGGAAUAACAAUAUAGGAUUUCGGUUCUAUUUUGUUGGUUUCUAGGACUGAAAUAAUGAUUAAUAGGGACAGUUGGGGGCAUUCGUAUUUAACUGUCAGAGGUGAAAUUCUUAGAUUUGUUAAAGACGAACUACUGCGAAAGCAUUUGCCAAAGAUGUUUUCAUUAAUCAAGAACGAAAGUUAGGGGCUCGAAGACGAUCAGAUACCGUCGUAGUCUUAACCGUAAACUAUGCCGACUAGAGAUAGGAAAAUGUCAUUUUGCUGACUU
rnacentral:rRNA from 1 species